CAGACCAGUUGUUUGGUUGUCCUUUUAAUCAAAACUUAUGUUGUUAUGUUUGGAGGCGAGUCUGCUUUGGUCUCAUCCUGAUGGAAUUCAUUAAGAUCAUAUCAUGGUGGGAAUGUUAAGAGCGGGGAUCUUAUAUUUAGAAACAGCAAGGUGCUAUUUUGUUUGUCAGUGAUAGGCCUCGUGGAGUUGCAGUUGGUAUGUUGGAUUCAUGUUUGCUGCCUUCGCUCUGUAUGGAAAUGUUAUAGGAUAUAAUGGCUUUCUCCUGGAACCAUCGUCAUAAACCAAUCAACUCUUUGAGAAUGGAUGGAGAAGACAACAUCAAGAAGGCCAUGGCUGAGGCAAAACUGUGAACAAGAAGCGGGCAAGAUGUGUUGAUGCAAGAUAUCUUUUGCUAUAUCGUGCAUCAUGAUCGUAUGACCCACUCUAUGCAUAUGAACCCCUAUAUUGGAUAUUCUUACAUUUUAUUGAAUCAUAUCCUUC